CCUACGGGGGGCAGCAGUGGGGAAUAUUGCACAAUGGGCGCAAGCCUGAUGCAGCCAUGCCGCGAGUGUGAAGAAGGCCUUCGGGUUGUAAAGCACUUUCAGCGGGGAGGAAGGCGUUAAGGUUAAUAACCUUGGCGAUUGACGUUACCCGCAGAAGAAGCACCGGCUAACUCCGUGCCAGCAGCCGCGGUAAUACGGAGGGUGCAAGCGUUAAUCGGAAUUACUGGGCGUAAAGCGCACGCAGGCGGUCUGUCAAGUCGGAUGUGAAAUCCCCGGGCUCAACCUGGGAACUGCAUUCGAAACUGGCAGGCUAGAGUCUUGUAGAGGGGGGUAGAAUUCCAGGUGUAGCGGUGGAAUGCGUAGAGAUCUGGAGGAAUACCGGUGGCGAAGGCGGCCCCCUGGACAAAGACUGACGCUCAGGUGCGAAAGCGUGGGGAGCAAACAGGAUUAGAUACCCCAGUAGUC
rnacentral:rRNA from 1 species